rnacentral:rRNA from 1 species
UACGUAGGAUGCGAGCGUUGUCCGGAAUUACUGGGCGUAAAGCGCACGUAGGCGGGUUUGUAAGUAGAGGGUGAAAUCCCAGGGCUCAACUCUGGAACUGCCUUCUAGACUGCAAGCCUGGAGGUCAGGAGAGGCGAGUGGAAUACCGAGUGUAGAGGUGAAAUUCGUAGAUAUUCGGUGGAACACCAGUGGCGAAGGCGACUCGCUGGACUGAUACUGACGCUGAGGUGCGAAAGCGUGGGGAGCAAACAGG